rnacentral:rRNA from 1 species
GUGAACGCUGGCGGUAGGCCUAACACAUGCAAGUCGAACGGCAGCACAGUAAGAGCUUGCUCUUACGGGUGGCGAGUGGCGGACGGGUGAGGAAUACAUCGGAAUCUACUUUUUCGUGGGGGAUAACGUAGGGAAACUUACGCUAAUACCGCAUACGACCUACGGGUGAAAGCAGGGGAUCUUCGGACCUUGCGCGAUUGAAUGAGCCGAUGUCGGAUUAGCUAGUUGGCGGGGUAAAGGCCCACCAAGGCGACGAUCCGUAGCUGGUCUGAGAGGAUGAUCAGCCACACUGGAACUGAGACACGGUCCAGACUCCUACGGGAGGCAGCAGUGGGGAAUAUUGGACAAUGGGCGCAAGCCUGAUCCAGCCAUACCGCGUGGGUGAAGAAGGCCUUCGGGUUGUAAAGCACUUUUGUUGGGAAAGAAAAGCAGCAGGUUAAUACCCCGCUGUUCUGACGGUACCCAAAGAAUAAGCACCGGCUAACUUCGUG